rnacentral:lncRNA from 1 species
GGUCUUUUUUUUUUUUUUUUCUUCUUUUUUUUUGGUGGGGGAGCUGGGGACUGAACCCAGGGCCUUGCGCUUGCUAGGCAAGCGCUCUACCACUGAGCUAAAUCCCCAACCCCAGCCAGGUCUUUUUUAAGGGGUUGUCUUGUGCUCUGUAGUUUGUUGUGCAGCUUCCCUGGCCUUCACCCAGUAGAUGUCCUAGCAUUCCCAUCCAGUUUGUGACAACUACAGAUAAUCUCUGUUCCCAGGGAGUGGGCAAAUGGCUCUCCAUUGAAAAUGACUAAGAAACUCUUAUCUACUGUGGUGUAACUUGUGAACUACAUGACAGACUAGUUAGAAAACAAAUUCCUCCCAAAUAGUCAGAACUAGCUCACAUACUGUGCCUUGCCUAAAGGAGUUCAAGGGAGAGAUGGGGAUGAGGGCAGAGGGGAUACAAGUCUUGUAAAUAGAUGAAGCUCCCUUUGCUGGCUCUAUACUCUCAAUAAAGGGGUCCAUUUGACAAGAUUGCCA